UACGGGGGGGGCAAGCGUUGUUCGGAAUUACUGGGCGUAAAGGGCGCGUAGGCGGCCCGCUAAGUCGAACGUGAAAUCCCCGAGCUCAACUCGGGAACUGCGUCCGAUACUGGUGGGCUUGAAUCCGGGAGAGGGAUGCGGAAUUCCAGGUGUAGCGGUGAAAUGCGUAGAUAUCUGGAGGAAUACCGGUGGCGAAGGCGGCAUCCUGGACCGACAUUGACGCUGAUGAGCGAAAGCUAGGGGAGCAAACGGG
rnacentral:rRNA from 1 species